rnacentral:rRNA from 1 species
GGUGAACGCUGGCGGCGUGCCUAAUACAUGCAAGUCGAGCGAACGGACGAGAAGCUUGCUUCUCUGAUGUUAGCGGCGGACGGGUGAGUAACACGUGGAUAACCUACCUAUAAGACUGGGAUAACUUCGGGAAACCGGAGCUAAUACCGGAUGAUAUUUUGAACCGCAUGGUUCAAAAGUGAAAGACGGUCUUGCUGGCACUUAUAGAUGGAUCCGCGCUGCAUUAGCUAGUUGGUAAGGUAACGGCUUACCAAGGCAACGAUGCAUAGCCGACCUGAGAGGGUGAUCGGCCACACUGGAACUGAGACACGGUCCAGACUCCUACGGGAGGCAGCAGUAGGGAAUCUUCCGCAAUGGGCGAAAGCCUGACGGAGCAACGCCGCGUGAGUGAUGAAGGUCUUCGGAUCGUAAAACUCUGUUAUUAGGGAAGAACAUAUGUGUAAGUAACUGUGCACAUCUUGACGGUACCUAAUCAGAAAGCCACGGCUAACUACGUG